rnacentral:rRNA from 1 species
UACGGGAGGCAGCAGUGGGGAAUAUUGCACAAUGGGCGCAAGCCUGAUGCAGCCAUGCCGCGUGUAUGAAAAAGGCCUUCGGGUUGUAAAGUACUUUCAGUCGUGAGGAAGGUGUUAAGGUUAAUAACCUUAGCAAUUGACGUUAGCGACAGAAGAAGCACCCGGCUAACUCCGUGCCAGCAGCCGCGGUAAUACGGAGGGUGCGAGCGUUAAUCGGAAUUACUGGGCGUAAAGGGCACGCAGGCGGUUAAUUAAGUUGGAUGUGAAAUCCCCGGGCUUAACCUGGGAAUGGCAUUCAAGACUGGUUAGCUAGAGUCUUGUAGAGGGGGUAGAAUUCCAUGUGUAGCGGUGAAAUGCGUAGAGAUGUGGAGGAAUACCGGUGGCGAAGGCGGCCCCUGGACAAAGACUGACGCUCAUGUGCGAAAGCGUGGGGAGCGAAAACAGGGAUUAGAUACC